rnacentral:rRNA from 1 species
UACAGAGGUCUCAAGCGUUGUUCGGAUUCAUUGGGCGUAAAGGGUGCGUAGGUGGCGUGGUAAGUCGGGUGUGAAAUUUCGGAGCUUAACUCCGAAACUGCAUUCGAUACUGCUGUGCUUGAGGACUGGAGAGGAGACUGGAAUUUACGGUGUAGCGGUGAAAUGCGUAGAUAUCGUAAGGAAGACCAGUGGCGAAGGCGGGUCUCUGGACAGUUCCUGACGCUGAGGCACGAAGGUCAGGGGAGCAAACGGG